UUUCUCUCUUUGCAGGAAGUUAAGGUCCACAUGGAGUCUUUCCCAUGUGCCAAACAAAUCAAGUGGAGUUCACUUUUCUUUGCAAAGAAGACAGUUGGAAGUGAAGAAAACUCAUUUACAUGUUCAGUUACUGAGUACAUGUCAACUUCCUCCUGAAUGAUCUUGUUAUCCUGAAAAUGAACACAGUUUGUGUCUCUGAAUUUAAAUGAGAAAAAGAAGAAAUCUUCUCCAACAGUGAUAACUUAUUGGAAGGAGGACUGUUUCUGGUAUACAUGCGUCAUACUUUCAGCCAGCAACAUGACCAUUAUGACCAUUGGAGGGAAUAAUUUGGACUUUUCACCUCUGGCCAUCAAGUUUCUGAUGAAAGCUGAGCAGGAGGGACUUCUAUCGGGAAACCUCCGCUCUGUCUCUGACUGUAGGAGUGUGCGCACCCGUGCGUGUGGGUGCAAGAUGCAUGGAGGAUCGGGAUGACCGGAAGCACCGAUGGAGGGCCCGUCUGAGGACUACCUAGUAGUAGCGUCUGCAAGCACUGUUCAGGCCGUCCGGCUGCUGUCCGUGGUGCUGAUCCUGCUCAGCACUGUUCAGGCCGUCCGGCUGCUCUCCGUGGUGCUGAUCCUGCUCAUCACUGUUCAGACCGUCCGGCUGCUGUCCCUGGUGCUGAUUAUCCCCGUGUUCUUGAAAUAUGCUCCUGUUUUUAACUUGAGCAGAAUGCAUUUUCAUCAGCAGUGUCAGAAAUCAGCUCACUAAUUAUCCCAAACGCUAGCUGCCUUUUUUAUAUAGCUAUAUAGCCGUUUCGCCUCCGUUUUUGGACGUGUGGAUCCAAAGAUAAUACCAAUUGUAUUCUCUGUUUGUUUUUGCAUCGGCAACAGUAAUUUUGAAAGCCCUAUUUAGUGUAAGUAUAGUAUGGUUUCUCUGGUGUGUUAUUUCCCCAAAUGUUUGUGUGACAAUCUCACCAGUUAGUCUAGUUGGCAGUAGUGUUCAUUUUUUGCCAAACUCCUGCUGUUGUGGUUAUUAAAGCACUGAGAACCCUCCUUU
rnacentral:lncRNA from 1 species